ACUCUUCACUGCUCUCCCCCUCGUCCUGUCCUUCUCCUUCUCUCUCUCCUUUCCUCCUCUGCUCUUUCACCCUCUCUCGGCUCCUUCCUGGUUGUGCUGACGCUUUCUCCCGCGAAACGGACGGCGAUAAAUAAAUAGAGGCUGGAGCCGGCUCUUGUGAAGCCCGGGCUGAGUUGCAGUGGAGAGGGCUGUCCUGUCUCUGAGCCAUUAGCCCCAGCACAGCCCUGUUAGCCCCAGUAGCGUACAGCACAGUACAGCACAGCCCUGUUAGCCCCAGUAGCGUACAGCACAGUACAGCACAGCCCUGUUAGCCCCAGUAGCGUACAGCACAGUACAGCACAGCCCUGUUAGCCCCAGUAGCGUACAGCACAGUACAGCAUAGCCCUGUUAGCCUCAGUAGCGUACAGCACAGUACAGCACAGCCCUGUUAGCCCCAGUAGCGUACAGCACAGCCCUGUUAGCCCCAGUAGCAUACAGCACAGCCCUGUUAGCCUCAGUAGUGUACAGCACACUACAGCACAGCCCUGUUAGCCCCAGUAGCGU